rnacentral:rRNA from 1 species
UGCCUACGGGGGGCAGCAGUAGGGAAUUUUCGGCAAUGGGGGGAACCCUGACCGAGCAACGCCGCGUGAACGAAGAAGUUAUUCGUAAUGUAAAGUUCUUUUUUCAGGGAAGAAAGAGGAAUUUGACGGUACCUGAGGAAUAAGCUCCGGCUAACUACGUGCCAGCAGCCGCGGUAAUACGUAGGGAGCGAGCGUUAUCCGGAUUUACUGGGUGUAAAGGGAGCGUAGACGGCAUGGCAAGUCAGAUGUGAAAGCC